UACAUAUAAUUAAGCGGAGGAAAAGAAACUAACUAGGAUUCCCUCAGUAAGGGCGACUGAAGCGGGAAGUGCUCAGGAUGUGAAUCUGCGCUUUUGCGCCGAAUUGUGGUCUGUAGACGGUGGCGUUACUGGCCGGGCCAAGUCCCUUGGAAAAGGGCAGCUGAGAGGGUGACACUCCCGUCCGCCCGGCCGUGUGAGCUGCUAGUCAACGAGUCGAGUUGUUUGGGAUUGCAGCUCAAAGUGGGUGGUAAAUUCCAUCUAAAGCUAAAUAUUGGUGGGAGACCGAUAGCGUACAAGUACCGUGAGGGAAAGAUGCAAAGAACUUUGAAAAGAGAGUUAAAGAGUACCUGAAAUUGCUGAAAGGGAAGCGAAGGAAACCAGUGUUUGCCUGGUCAUAUUUCCCUGGCCGCUUGCGGCUUGGGCGCUGUGUCCGGCUUUUGUUGUUCUUGGUUGGGACCUUUGGAAGAGCGCGUAAGGAGUUGACUUGCGUUGCUAGCGCUGGUCCUGACUGAGGAGGACGAAAUGGUUUUCUUUACCCCGUCUUGAAACACGGACCAAGGAGUCUAACAUAUGUGCGAGUACAGGGGUUUUAAACCCCCGUGCGUAAUGAAAGUGACAGUGGUUGGAAAUUUGCACAAUCCGCCGGCCUCAAUCCCUCGGGAGAACGGUCUGAGUGUGAGCAUACAUGUUGGGACCCGAAAGAUGGUGAACUAUGCCUGAAUAGGGUGAAGCCAGGGGAAACUCUGGUGGAGGCUCGUAGCGAUUCUGACGUGCAAAUCGAUCGUCAAAUUUGGGUAUAGGGGCGAAAGACUAAUCGAACCAUCUAGUACG
rnacentral:rRNA from 1 species